rfam:TPA: Bos taurus chromosome 16, whole genome shotgun sequence.
UCUCUGAUGGCUUAGAUGGUAAAGAGUCUGCCUGCAAUGUAGGAGACCCAGGUUUGAUCCCUGGGUCAGGAA